CCCUGGUAGUCCACGCAGUAAACGAUGAUUACUAGGAGUUUGCGAUAUAGUGUAAGCUCUACAGCGAAAGCGUUAAGUAAUCCACCUGGGGAGUACGCCGGCAACGGUGAAACUCAAAGGAAUUGACGGGGGCCCGCACAAGCGGAGGAACAUGUGGUUUAAUUCGAUGAUACGCGAGGAACCUUACCCGGGAUUGAAAUGUAGACGACGGAGAGUGAGAGCUUUCUUCCUUUCGGGGCGUCUAUGUAGGUGCUGCAUGGUUGUCGUCAGCUCGUGCCGUGAGGUGUCGGCUUAAGUGCCAUAACGAGCGCAACCCUGACUGUCAGUUGCUAACAGGUAAAGCUGAGGACUCUGGCGGGACUGCCGGCGUAAGCUGUGAGGAAGGUUGGGAUGACGUCAAAUCAGCACGGCCCUUACAUCCGGGGCGACACACGUGUUACAAUGGCAGGGACAAAGGGCAGCUACCGGGCGACCGGAUGCCAAUCUCCAAACCCUGUCUCAGUUCGGAUCGGAGUCUGCAACUCGACUCCGUGAAGCUGGAUUCGCUAGUAAUCGCGCAUCAGCCAUGGCGCGGUGAAUACGUUCCCGGGCCUUGUACACACCGCCCGUCAAGCCAUGGGAGCCGGGGGUACCUGAAGUCCGUAACCGCGAGGAUCGGCCUAGGGUAAAACUGGUGACUGGGGCUAAGUCGUAACAAGGUAGCCG
rnacentral:rRNA from 1 species